rnacentral:lncRNA from 1 species
GAGUGAGGGUGAAUUACGUGAUGUAGACCCUGAUCCUGGAGAGAGUGAGGCUGAAAGAGAUCAAAGUUCUGAGGACGUAGAAGUUGGUGAUCAAAGGGAGGAGAGUGAAGGAAGAGAAACUGGAAGUGAUGAAAAAGAAGGAUAUGGUCAAAGGGUAGUAACAAGCAGGCGACGCGAUGUUAUUGAGAGUGGAUCAGAGAGGUCUGAGGAGAACCAUUAUGCUGACCAUGAAGAUGAGGAAGUGGAUCAGGC